CGUCUCCCCUGCCCCUGGGGUGGUGUGGAGAAGGGGUUGCACCUCCACUCGACUCCAGGCGCGCGCUUGUCUCCCACGCCAGGACCGCACCCCCCUCUCCCCCACCCGGCUGCACUGGGCCGGCGCCUAGCAGCCCACUUAGAACUGGUGACUGUUGAAUUAAAACAAUGCAUCGCGAAGGCCCAGCGGGUGCUGACACGAUGUGAUUUCUGCCCAGGGCUCUGAUUGUGAAGUGAAGACAUUCAAUGAAGCGCGGGUAAACGGGGAGUAACUAUGACUCUCUUAAGGUAGCCAAAUGCCUCCUCAUCUAAUUAGUGAUGCGCAUGAAUGGAUGAACGAGAUUCCCACUGUCCCUACCUCCUAUCCAGCCAAACCACAGCCAAGGGUUGGCGGAAUCAGCGGGGAAAGAAGACCCUGUUGAGCUUGACUCUAGUCUGGCAGGUGAAGAGACAUGAGAGGUGUAGAAUAAGUGGGAGGCCUGGCGCCCCUCCAUCUCUGCGAGGGGGUGGGGUCAGCCAGUGAAAUACCACCACUGGGGGGGACAGUGCCAGGUGGGGAGUGUGACUGGGGUGAUACACCUGUCACACAGGAACGUAGGUGUCCUAAGGCGAGCUCAGGAGGACAGAAACCUCCCGCGGUGCAGAAGGGCAAAAGCUCGCUUGAUCUUGAUUUUCAGUACGAAUACAGACCGUGAAAACGGGGCCUCACGAUCCUUCUGACCUUCUGGGUUAGAAGCAGGAGGUGUCAGAAAAGUCACCACAGGAAUAACUGGCUUGUGGUGGCCAAGCGUUCAUAGCGACGUCGCUUUCUCAUCCUUCACUGUGGGCUCUUCCCAUCAUUCCCAUCAUUGUGAAGCAGAAUUCCUCACGUGUGGGAUUGCUCACCCACUAAGAGGGAACGUGAGAUGGGUUAGAUUCAACCUCCUGAGGAUGUGUUGUUGCCAUGGUAAUCCUGCUCAGUAGGAGAGGAACCGGAGGUUCAGUUGGUGGAUGUGCUUGGCUGAGGAGCCCAUGGGGCGAAGCUACCAUCUGUGGGAUUAUGACGGAAGCUUCUAAAUCAGAAUCCCGCCCAGACAGAACCAUAAGGCUGCACCUCGGGCCUCGGUUGCCCUCAGAUAGCCGGUCCCUGCCGGCGGGCAGUCUCGCUCCCUCUGCGCAUCUGGUAGGUCUGGUGCGGAGAGCCCUUGGUCCUGGGAAAUGGGGUGCGGCUGGAAAGGGGUCCGCCCCCUCCGUUCUUCACGCAAUGCACAUUUGUGGGGAGCCUGGUGCUAAACCAUUCGCAGUUGACCUGCUUCUGGGUGGGGGUUUUGUAAGUAGCAGAGCAGCUCCCUCGCUGUGAUCUAUUGAAAGUCAGCCCUCCACACAAGGGUUUGU
rnacentral:ncRNA from 1 species